AUCCUGAAAUACGGGAGAUUACGGGGAGAAAUGACAAAACGGGAGGGCGGCGGGAGAUGGAUCAGAAAACGGGAGAAACCCGGGGAAAACGGGAGAGUUGGCAGCUCAGCUUUACUGUGGACGUGUUGAUUAUAAUGUAACAAAGAUAUUAUCAAUGCUAGACAAUCACUCACCUGUUCACACCAGAGUUAUAUAUAGGCACUAAAUACCUAAAUAUAUAUAAUAUGGGACUAAUACAAAUAAUCAUUCACCAUAUAGCACAGAUAACUAUUUACUUAGCAAAAUGUAUAUACAUAUGUACACAAGUAUCAAUUAACACAAUUACGGUCUUUGACAGUUCCACAACCAGAAUAGCAAUCAAUUUAAACACACACAGUAUCAACAAUUCUAAUCCUAUAGCCGGCAUUAAUAAAUAAAUACUUAGGGUACCCAAAAUGUUGCAGGGGUCUUACGUUGCAAGCUUGAUUCGUCGCUCGUGUUCGUAGUAGCCAAAAACUCAACAGCUAUUUCGCGCCAAUUGCACUGAGGAAAAUAAAACACUUAGCUUGCAACAAUGGCCGCCGCCUCCGCGAGCGUGCCGAGUGGAUGUAGAGGAAGAUGUUGUCCUUGGUAGCUCACCCACGAUGUCGACCAGAGUUGUCUACUGCCUGGACUCCGCUGUCUCUUUCCCGUUGGGGUUUGCUGGGCAGUAGGGACGCUGUGAUGUGUAGGUUGCCGAAUAAGCCACCCUUGUCCAACGACCGUUAAUGCUAGGCUAGCUGUAGCCAAGUUAGCAGGGGCGUGGCCAUGUGGUGGCCAGGGGGGGCCACGGCCACCAUUGGUCAGAGAAUGACCACCCUGCCGGCCCCCCCAACCUCACGGCACGGCAAAAAAAAAAAAAUACAAAAAACCCACCUGAAUAGAAACGGUAUAAAGCUGAAAUAAAUGCAUUCAUAUUUUUUUUAUCAAGUCGUCUUAUAUUGUCAUUUGCCAUAUUUGCAACAUGUUGGGCCACGCCUCCAUCAACAGCGCAAGACACAAACCAACGGGCCGGCAUUCUGACUGCGCUUCAAUGGAGACUAGCAGCUAACCACUGGAUACCACUGUAACUAACAGACAUUUCCAAGUCCAGGGGUGAAGCUCCAGCGCAACCUCAACUAAAUUUCCCCAAGACACUCCAGGGAAACCGAAACAGGAGCUUCAAGGGUGACUGGUAUGUAGUCCACCCCUGGUUAGAAUACUCCAUAAGUGAAGACUCUACCUCUAACAAACAAAAAAGAGAAUUAUGUAAAAUGAUUUACAUGGAUCUACCUACACUCACUGACUCACUCACUCACACACACACACACACACACAAGCAAACAAAGCGUGCCCCUUGUAGACCUGGUUUGUCAGUGCUCUGUUUUCAUUCAGCACCACAAUCUGUUUGAUGUAGUAAGCUAGUGAUAUUGUUCACUGUUUGUAGUGAUACUGUUCAAUGUACAUUAUACAUAUUGUUGAUAUUUUUUUUCUUUA